CUACAACAAAAGUGGGAGACAGACACCAACGUGAUUGACAGAUAGUGGUGAUAUCUUCCAAAAUUCUGGGUCCUGGUGUAGUGGCCUUCGGAGCAUUUGGUUUGGUUUUAUGGCCACUUUCCUUUCUAUAAAGUGACUACUGGAACUGAUGGGUGGAAACUUCAGUGUGAGUACAUAUGAGCGUCCAAAUUAUCCUUAGCACAUCAUUGGUUACACUAGUUUACUAUAUACCAAAGAUGAGUUAGUGUUCACUCAGGCCCGAAAUGGAAUGACGGUUUUGCCCUUCCUACUUGCCCCAACUACAAUUUUGCCAUAGUUUUACGGAUGAGGGCCAUCGGGAGAGAGAUACAAGUCAUACAACACUGACCAUCUCAAAGACGAAACAUUCGAGAGCGGUAGAGGGAUUUAAACGAUUUCUUCUUCUCAUGAUUAGACUGGAGAUUUGGGCAAAUCCAGGUUUGUUAAUCGGUCUGUGUUGGGCGAAGAGGCUCUUUUUGUAUCUGUUCUUUCGAUUUGAUACUCCAAUAGCAUCUGCAGCAUUUAAAAGUCUAGGUAGCUAUUGUAAGAUUUGAACAAUGCGAUGGUGUUUUUAUUCUGAGAGUGGUGAUCUCAACAAUGCGAUAUAAUUAUAAGAGCCGGGGUUUGUCCAGAGUAUCAAGGUCAGCCGCCAAGAUUAAUACCAAAACAAUUUCUAUUUGUUUUAGAAUUGAACUAUCUGUUUGUAUGAAAUCAAUUCAUUUUAUGAUUUAUCCUUUUUUGUUUGAAAUAUGUGAAUUCGGAAUCUGAUUAUGAACAUGGAUACUAUUUUGGUUAAGCUUUAAAAUGCUUCGUCGUUCUUAAUUUUAUUUGAUCGGGAGAGAGAUACAACAACUCUGAGACAAAAACUCUAAGAGCGACAGUGAUCGAGAGGGAGAGAGCAACUCUGAGGGCGAAAAAAUAAUAGAGGUUUGGGUUUGUUUUGGAAGAGGUCAUGUUUCAGUUGAUCGAGAGGGAGAGACAGAAACAUUGAGAGCGAAGUAGAGAUCCAUAGCAAGAUUUGGAUCAGGUUUGGGAGGGAUCUUUCACCAAAAGAAGAGCUGUGGCUUGCUUUUGAUUUUUGUGGAUGCGUGGCCUUCAUCUCUGUUCGACUGAAGCCCCUCAGUUCGAUUCAGAGUUUUCAUGCAGAUCAAGAAGAAAGAGAUCCAACAUUUCAGAACAAACCCAUCUUUUCGAACGAAGUUUACGAAAGAGUUGACCAGAGGCAACUGGACAAAGACAGAAGAUGUAUGGCUGCUGAGAUUUCAGUUCCUUUCAUCUCAUUGUUAUAACUAUUCAAGGUUCUGAUCCUCUCAGGGUGGAUGCCCGGGCAUAUCGAUGGAUUCUGACAGCAAAGAAAAUGCAAGACCAGAUGUUUCAAUUAUUGAAUAUAAUGGUUUUUAAAUAGGAUGAUAAUGAGUAUUCCCUUUCAAUAAUUUGGAGUAGAGACAUACAGUAGAAACGUACAGUGUUGAAAAGGGAUUCACCCUCGGAUUAAACUUUUGCUCUGAAUCCCUGUGUAUAAAACCGACAUCUCCAGCUGCUUUCCAAUUCGAGAAGCCUCCAUCAAAGUCACCAUCUACUGUUACGCAAUAUCAGGCUUAUCCAUCACAAUCAACAUCACCGAAGACUGGGUUCUCUACCUAUGAUCUAUCUGAGCGGCAAAUUGAGGUUUAGGGUUAACAUGCUGCAGUUUCAAGCAAUAGCUGAUCAGUUUUUCGCAAUCCAGAUUACCAUAAGCAUGUUAGAAAGCAGAAAUUAGUGAUCAAGACAAGGAGCAUCAAGUUCAUGCCAUUCUAUCUUUCUCUUGCAACCUUCUUGAUGAGUCUCCUCUUUCUCUGCAUACGGACUUUUCAGAGAAGAUCCAUUCAUAUGUGUGUGUGUGUGUGCACACACUAACGUGCAAAUUUCAGCAGUUAAAUUAUCGCCUUAGGCAACAAACACAUCUCACUUUUUUUUAUUUCUUGGCAACAGUUUACAUUUCAAUUGGAAAAAUAAAUAUACAUUUACAGUUCAUCAUACCUCUUCUGAUAACAUAUCUGAUUCACAUUUUCUACAAGUCUAAUUCUCUGGUUGAUUAUCCAGGUUUGACGAAUCUGUGAAUGUCAAGCAGCUUCAAAGCAUAUUGUGAUCCAUUUCAACUUUCAUUAUUAGAUACCCUAUCCCCAGCAAAGCGCAGGCACACUUUCUAGUUAGAACCAAACAUAAGAAGGAAACUGCAGACCAUUUCAAUGAGCAUGGUCUAUUAACUUGGCUAGGAUAUGGAUGAAAUUUACUAUAUACUAAAGGAGAGAUACUGUUCACAAGGGCUUGAAAUGGAGUGACGGUUUUGCCCCUGGAUUUUUCUCACAAUUUUGGGUUGCCAUAGAAUGUCUAGAAACCCGUCAAGCGGAGAAUCGUAAACCCACCCGCCUACUUGCUCUGUUUUUAGCCUCUACUGACCCUUCCAGAGGUUCCAUGACUUCCAGACGUUUACUAAGUCAAAUUUAUAGCUAAGAGAAAAGCGAUCCAGAGGGAGAUAGAGAGAUCGGCUGUGAUAAAAAGAUAGAGAGAUCGGGUGUGUGUUGUUUGCUUUGUACAAAGAGAUAGAGAGAGAUUCAGGAAACGGGAUUCCCACCUCAUCAUCUCAACGGUUAGUUCUUUCUGAGCUGAUUUGCCUUUUAAUUUCUGAGCUAUUAGUAUGGGUCUUCGGUUUGAUCUGUUGAAUAUUUGAGCUUUCUAUUCUGAUGUUGUUUACAAUUUGUAAUUUGUAGCGGUACGAAUUUCAAUUUUUGAAAGUUAUUUCAGUUUAUAAAGAAUGAACUUUAUUGGUUCUUGGAAUUAUGUAGAGAUUGAUUAUCCUCUUUGUUGGAGCAGAUCUUACCAUGUAUAUUAAGUUAACUUGGGUUUGGACUACUAUGCUGAAAUGAGUACUUGGGACUUUAAGUUU